rnacentral:rRNA from 1 species
UACGUAGGGAGCAAGCGUUGUCGGGAAUCAUUGGGCGUAAAGCGCGCGUAGGUGGCUUCGUAAGUCCGUUGUGAAAGUCAAAGGCUCAACCUUUGAAAGCCGAUGGAUACUGCGGAGCUAGAGUACGGAAGAGGCGAGUGGAAUUCCUGGUGUGGCGGUGAAAUGCGCAGAUAUCGGGAGGAACACCGGUGGCGAAGGCGGUUCUCUGGGCCUUACCUGACGCUGAGGAGCGAAAGCGUGGGGAGCGAACAGG